rnacentral:rRNA from 1 species
AUUGAACGCUGGCGGCAGGCUUAACACAUGCAAGUCGAACGAUGAGACCUAGCUUGCUAGGUUGAAUAGUGGCGGACGGGUGAGUAACAUUUAGGAAUCUGCCUUAUAGAGGGGGAUAGCUCGGGGAAACUCGAAUUAAUACCGCAUACGUCCUACGGGAGAAAGGUGCCUUAGGGUAUCGCUAUAAGAUGAGCCUAAACCAGAUUAGCUAGUUGGUGGGGUAAAGGCCUACCAAGGCGACGAUCUGUAGCUGGUCUGAGAGGAUGAUCAGCCACACCGGAACUGAGACACGGUCCGGACUCCUACGGGAGGCAGCAGUGGGGAAUAUUGGACAAUGGGGGCAACCCUGAUCCAGCCAUGCCGCGUGUGUGAAGAAGGCCUUUUGGUUGUAAAGCACUUUAAGCAGUGAAGAAGACGCUGUGGCUAAUAUCCACAGUUGAUGACAUUAACUGCAGAAUAAGCACCGGCUAACUCUGUGC